CUGGAAGGGCGGUCCAAGUCAGGCUGCUCGCUCCGAUCACAGCAUCCUGGAUCCUCACUGAGGUUGACCAGCAAAUCACAGAGGCAAGUGGAGCCUGAAUGAGAUGCGCACCAACCUGUGCUUCAUGUACCAGAAGAUCGUCGCGCAGCCGAAGCCCGUGGAAACGCCAAGAACAGAACCCCGUGCAUCUGUCCCGUGAGGCCGACCCUGCUGACAUGCUGCAGUUUGUCUCCGGGUAGCUGAGCCAAG